rnacentral:rRNA from 1 species
CCUACGGGGGGCAGCAGUGAGGAAUAUUGGUCAAUGGGCGGGAGCCUGAACCAGCCAAGUCGCGUGAGGGAAGACGGUCCUAUGGAUUGUAAACCUCUUUAGUCGGGGAGCAAUGCCGGGCACGCGUGCCCGGAGGGAGAGUACCCGCAGAAUAAGCAUCGGCUAACUCCGUGCCAGCAGCCGCGGUAAUACGGAGGAUGCGAGCGUUAUCCGGAUUUAUUGGGUUGAAAGGGUGCGUAGGCGGAUUUUUAUGUCAGCGGUAAAAUGUCCGGGCUAAACCCUGGCCGGCCGGUGAAACUGGGGAUUUUGAGUGGGGGAGAAGUAUGGGGAAUUCGGGGUGUAGGGGUGAAAUGCAUAG